AGAUGUUACAGCUCUUGUAGAAUGUGUCUAGCAGGUUUUCCAGUUCUCACUGGAAGACCCGC
ensembl:snRNA U7 U7 small nuclear RNA